GGGGAUAUAGCUCAGUGGUAGAGCACUCGCCUAGCAUGUGUGGGGCUUGGGGUUCCAACCCUUGAUUCUCA
rnacentral:tRNA from 1 species